GUGGGGAAUAUUGCACAAUGGGGGAAACCCUGAUGCAGCGACGCCGCGUGAGCGAAGAAGUAUUUCGGUAUGUAAAGCUCUAUCAGCAGGGAAGAAGAAUGACGGUACCUGACUAAGAAGCACCGGCUAAAUACGUGCCAGCAGCCGCGGUAAUACGUAUGGUGCAAGCGUUAUCCGGAUUUACUGGGUGUAAAGGGAGCGCAGGCGGUGCGGCAAGUCUGAUGUGAAAGCCCGGGGCUCAACCCCGGUACUGCAUUGGAAACUGUCGUACUAGAGUGUCGGAGGGGUAAGUGGAAUUCCUAGUGUAGCGGUGAAAUGCGUAGAUAUUAGGAGGAACACCAGUGGCGAAGGCGGCUUACUGGACGAUAACUGACGCUGAGGAGCGAAAGCGUGGGGAGCGAACAGGAUUAGAUACCCGUGUAGUCC
rnacentral:rRNA from 1 species